rnacentral:misc_RNA from 1 species
GUGAGUCAUCGAAUCUUUGAACGCACAUUGCGCCCGCCAGUAUUCUGGCGGGCAUGCCUGUUCGAGCGUCAUUUCAACCCUCAAGCUCCGGCUUGGUGUUGGGGAUCGGCAGCCCGGCUUCGCGCCGACGCCGUCCCCCAAAUGCAGUGGCGGUCACGCUGUAGCUUCCUAUGCGUAGUAGCACACCUCGCACUGGAAAGCAGCGCGGCCACGCCGUAAAACCCCCAACUUUUUGUGGUUGACCUCGAAUCAGGUAGGACUACCCGCUGAACUUAAGCAUAUCAAUAAGCGGAGGA